CCCUUAGAUGUCCUGGGCCGCACGCGCGUUACACUGAUGCAUUCAACGAGCUUAUAACCUUGGCCGAGAGGCCUGGGCAAUCUUGUUAACGUGCAUCGUGAUAGGGAUAGAUUAUUGAAAUUAUUAAUCUUGAACGAGGAAUUCCUAGUAAACGCAGAUCAUCAAUCUGCAUUGAUUACGUCCCUACCCUUUGUACACACCGCCCGUCGCUCCUACCGAUUGAAUGCUCAGGUGAGCCAUUCGGACUUUCAUCAUGCUGGUUUCCAGUUUUGAUGAAGGAAAGUCUUGCGAACCUUAUCAUUUAGAGGAAGGAGAAGUCGUAACA
rnacentral:rRNA from 1 species